ensembl:lncRNA
CUCCGGGGGGGGGGGAAAGGAGGCGGCGUUUCCUCAUUAGGGCCGUGGAUGAGCUCUGCUGCCCCUUAAUGGGGCUUUAAUUGGCGCCCUAAUUGGGUUUGGGGACGCAGCGCAGGAAGGCAGCGCUCCACCAUGGAUGGCUCUGCUGGGAGGGGAAGGGGGGGGACCCUAAAAUCCCCCCCGUGGGACCCCAAAACUGCAGCGCGGGGACCCCCAGAACUGCGCUAUGGGGGACCCCAAAAACAGCACUACGGGGACCCCCAGGAGGGCACUAUGGGGGACCCCAAAAAGUGGACUAUGAGGACACCAGGAGGGCCCUAUGGGGACCCCAAAAACUGAGCUAUGGGGGGACCCCAAAAAGUGCACCGUGUGAAGCCCAAAAACUGCGCUAUGGGGGACCCCAAAAAUGGCCUAUGGGGACCCCCAGAAUACCGUGGGGACCCCAAAAACUGCACUAUGAGGGACCCCACAAAGUGCAUGACUGGGACCCCAAAAACCGCUCUAUGGGGUCUCUGAGAACUGCGCUUUGGGGGACCCCAAAAACCGCUCUAUGGGGUCUCUGAGAACUGCACUUCGGGGGACCCCAAAAACCGCUCUAUGGGGUCUCUGAGAACUGCACUUCGGGGGACCCCAAAAACCGCUCUAUGGGGUCUCUGAGAACUGCACUUCGGGGGACCCCAAAAACCGCUCUAUGGGGUCUCUGAGAACUGCACUUCGGGGGACCCCAAAAACCGCUCUAUGGGGGGACCCCCCCAAGGAGAGCACUGUGGGGUCCUCGAGAAGCGCACGGUGGGGAUCCCCAAAAGGUUGACUACACGGACCCCAAAAACUACGGCAUGUGGGACUCCGGGGGGCACCGCGGGGACCCCAAAACUGCAAAGGGGACCCCAAAACCGCACCAAAGGGGACCCCCAGAGGGGCACUGUGUGCCCCCCCGGCCCCACAGCUCUGUGGGAAGCAGUGCCCGCAGUGACUCAGCACAGCACAGCCGGCCCCAUAGCCGCCCCAUAGCACAGCUGCCCCAUAGCCACCCCAUAGCCGCCCCAUAGUGCACAGCCACCCCAUAGCUGCCCCACAGCCACCCCAUAGCGCACAGCCGCCCCAUAGUGCACAGCCGCCCCAUAGUGCACAGCCGCCCCAUAGCCAUCCCGUAGCUGCCCCAUAGCACACAGCCACCCCAUAGCUGCCCCAUAGCCGCCCCAUAGUGCACAGCCGCCACAUAGCCAUCCCAUAGCCGCCCCAUAGCCCACAGCCAGCCCCACAGCGCACAGUCACCCCAUAGUUGCCCCAUAGCACACAGCCGCCCCCUAGCCAUCCCAUAGCCGCCCCAUAGCUGCCCCAUAGCACACAGUCACCCCAUAGCCGCCCCAUAGCGCACAGCCGGCCCCAUAGCUGCCCCAUAGCACACAGCCGGCCCCAUAGCCGCCCCAUAGUUGCCUCAUAGCUGCCCCAUAGCACACAGUCACCCCAUAGCUGCCCCAUAGCUGCCCCAUAGCACACGGCCGCCCCACACCCAGAGCUCUGGUGGGGCUGAUAAGGCAGCACAGCCGGCUGUGGGGCCGGAGAUACCCACAGGCACCGAAAGGGGGGGGGACCUCCGCCCCACACAUCGCUUCGGGGUCCCCAUAGGAUCUCCGCCCCACACUUUUGGGGCUCUCUGUAGGAACUCCGCCCCCCGCGCGGCACUUUUGGUACAGCGCACAUUUCCCUUUUGAAACCACAACCGCCAAAUGCGGCCCCGAAACCGCGACCCCAAAACCCACAGAACCUCAACUGCCCCCCCGGGAAACUGCCAUCUAUGGGGCAGGUGUGGGGUUUGCAUGGGGCAGCUCAGCCCCACAUGAUGGGGAUAUACGGGGCAGAUGUGGGGUUUGCAUGGGGCAGCUCAGCCCCACAUCACUGCGAUCUAUGGGGCAGAUGUGGGGUUUGCAUUGGGCAACUCAGCCCCACAUCACUGGGAUCUAUGGGGCAGAUGUGGGGUUUGCAUGGGGCAGCUCAGCCCUACAUCAUGGGGAUCUAUGGGGCAGAUAUGGGGUUUACAUGGGGCAGCUCAGCCCCACAUCACUGCAAUCUAUGGGGCGAUGGGUUUGCAUGGGACAGCUCAGCCCCACAUCACUGCGAUCUAUGGGGCAGAUGUGGGAUUUAUGGGGCGGAUGUGGGGUCUGCAUGGGGCAGCUCAGCCCCACAUCACUGCGAUCUAUGGGGCAUAUAUGGGAUUUAUGGGGCAGCUCAGCCCCACAUCAUGGGGAUCUAUGGGGCAGCUGUGGGGUCUGCACGGGGCAGCGGAGGGUCGGCCCCACAGAAUCAGUGGGGCUCCGCACCCCCGGGGCGGGGGGGGAUCCCACGGGAGCCGCAGCCCCACAGGGACGUGGCAGAGGGGGACGCGGUGUGGGGCGGAGCGGUGCGGGGGGGGUGGGGGGGUUAAGGCGGAGCGGAGCGGAGCACUGUGGGACGGGACGGGGGGGGGGGGACGACGGGCACUCCCUGCCCCACUGCGGGCGUCUGUGGGGCCGGGAACGCUGCGCCCCACGGAGCGCUGCUAUGGGUCCCGGCCCCACAUUGUCCCUAUGGGUCCCCAACCGCACCGGCGUUAGGAAAGCGACGCCCCGCGGGGCCGCACUCCCAACACCUUUAUGUGCCCAACGCUGUGGGGCCGAGGAGACAACGCCCCACUGCCACACCGGGAACCCACUGCCCCACAGCCCGCCCUAUGGGUCCCGGCCCCACUGCGAG